GCCCUUAUAGCUCAGUGGUAGAGCGCAGCACUUGUACGAGCUCUCUCGAGCAAUGCUGAGGUCCAUAGUUCAAUCCUGUGUGGGGGCA